rnacentral:rRNA from 1 species
UGGGGGAUCUUCCGCAAUGGGCGAAAGCCUGACGGAGCAAUGCCGCGUGGAGGUAGAAGGCCCUCGGGUCGUAAACUCCUUUUCUCGGAGAAGAAGCAGUGACGGUAUCUGAAGAAUAAGCAUCGGCUAACUCUGUGCCAGCAGCCGCGGUAAGACAGGGGAUGCAAGCGUUAUCCGGAAUGAUUGGGCGUAAAGCGUCUGUAGGUGGCUCCUUAAGUCCGCUGUCAAAUCCCAGGGCUCAACCCUGGACAGGCGGUGGAAACUACUAAGCUGGAGUACGGUAGGGGCAGGGGGAAUUUCCGGUGGAGCGGUGAAAUGCGUAGAGAUCGGAAAGAACACCAAAGGCGAAGGCACCCUGCUGGGCCGACACUGACACUGAGAGACGAAAGCUAGGGGAGCGAAUGGG